rnacentral:rRNA from 1 species
GUUGUCCGGAUUUAUUGGGCGUAAAGAGCUCGUAGGCGGCUUGUCGCGUCAACUGUGAAAACCCGUGGCUCAACCAUGUGGUCUGCAGUCGAUACGGGCAGGCUAGAAUUCGGUAGGGGAGACUGGAAUUCCUGGUGUAGCGGUGAAAUGCGCAGAUAUCAGGAGGAACACCAGCGGCGAAGGCGGCGCUCUGGGCCGGAACUGACGCUGAGGAGCGAAAGCGUGGGUAGCAAACAGG